CUCGAUAUUAUUAUUAAGAUUCUUGAAUUACUUGCAAUACAAUUAACUAGAGAUCAUUAUUUAUAGAAAGCCUAAGGCAACCUAACUAGAAUAACCGAAAAUGAUCACAUUGAUCAUAUUUAACAUGUACAUAAUUAAUUGCUUAACAAACAUGUAACAAACUUUCUAUUGAGAUUGCCCUUGGCUGGUGUGCUUGACUUUGUCCAAGUUCUGGUGCGUGGUGACUGGUUUCUGGUGUGGUUUGGCUUGGUCAGAUGGCUCGAUGCCUUGGUCAGGUUGAUCAUGUCCUGUCUUGAUCACAACUUUGGUCUGAGUGAUUGAAUUUUCAUUUUCUUCAGCCACGAUGGUAUUUUCCUCGGCCGAUAUGAAAUAUUCUUCGGUCAUGUCUAUGUUUUGCUCGGUGAAAGUCGAUUGUGGCUUGAUUAUGUAUAAGGCAGACAUAGAUUGUCUCAUGGUUAGGCAUAUAGUGGAUGUUGGUGUGUCUUUGUGUGUUGUUUAAGUUGGAUUGGUGUAUAAUGUUUGAUAACUACCAGUAAUAUUCCAAGCAAAUAUUUGGAUUAAAAACUCAUUCAAAUCAAGACAAAGAAGAGCCUUUGAUUAUACUUUUGAUUGAUAGCCAAGACUUCAACUUUAUCUCGUCCUGAAAUUCCUCUAUG
rnacentral:lncRNA from 1 species